AUACGGAGGAUCCGAGCGUUAUCCGGAUUUAUUGGGUUUAAAGGGUGCGUAGGCGGUUUGCUAAGCGGGAGGUGAAAUGCCGGCGCUCAGCGUCGGAAGUGCCUCCCGAACUGGUGGACUUGAAUGACUCUGCCGUGGGAGGAAUGUGUAGUGUAGCGGUGAAAUGCUUAGAGAUUACACAGAACACCGAUUGCGAAGGCAUCUCACGAAGGGUUGAUUGACGCUGAGGCACGAAAGCGUGGGGAUCAAACAGGAUUAGAUACCCUGGUAGUCCACGCAGUAAACGAUGAUGGCUAACCGCUGGGCUUAUCAGUUCAGUGGCCAAGCGAAAGCGAUAAGCCAUCCACCUGGGGAGUACGACCGCAAGGUUGAAACUCAAAGGAAUUGACGGGG
rnacentral:rRNA from 1 species